rnacentral:rRNA from 1 species
UACGGGGGGGGCUAGCGUUGUUCGGAAUUACUGGGCGUAAAGGGCGCGUAGGCGGUCUACUAAGUUGGAUGUGAAAACUCUGGGCUUAACCCAGAGCCUGCAUUCAAAACUGAUAGGCUAGAGUUCUGGAGGGGAUAGCGGAAUUCCUGGUGUAGCGGUGAAAUGCGUAGAUAUCAGGAGGAACACCGGUGGCGAAGGCGGCCACCUGGGCUAACACUGACGCUGGAGGCGCGAAAGCGUGGGAGCGAACGGG